rnacentral:rRNA from 1 species
UACGUGGGGCGCAAGCGUUGUCCGGAAUUAUUGGGCGUAAAGAGCUCGUAGGCGGUUUGUCGCGUCUGCUGUGAAAACCUGAGGCUCAACCUCGGGCUUGCAGUGGGUACGGGCAGACUAGAGUGCGGUAGGGGUGACUGGAAUUCCUGGUGUAGCGGUGAAAUGCGCAGAUAUCAGGAGGAACACCGGUGGCGAAGGCGGGUCUCUGGGCCGAUACUGACGCUCAGGAGCGAAAGCGUGGGGAGCAAACAGG